CCUACGGGUGGCAGCAGUGAGGAAUAUUGGUCAAUGGGCGGAAGCCUGAACCAGCCAAGUCGCGUGAGGGAAUAAGGCCCUACGGGUCGUAAACCUCUUUUGCCGGGGAGCAAGGGCCGGGACGCGUCCCGGCCCGGAGAGUACCCGGAGAAAAAGCAUCGGCUAACUCCGUGCCAGCAGCCGCGGUAAUACGGAGGAUGCGAGCGUUAUCCGGAUUUAUUGGGUUUAAAGGGUGCGUAGGCGGGCUUUUAAGUCAGCGGUAAAAAUUCGGGGCUCAACCCCGUCCGGCCGUUGAAACUGGGGGCCUUGAGUACAGUUGAGGUAGGCGGAAUUCGUGGUGUAGCGGUGAAAUGCUUAGAUAUCACGAAGAACCCCGAUUGCGAAGGCAGCUUACUAAACUGUGACUGACAUUGAUGCUCGAAAGUGUGGGUAUCAAACAGGAUUAGAUACCCGAGUAGUC
rnacentral:rRNA from 1 species